rnacentral:lncRNA from 1 species
GUCAAAGAGCUGAAGCCACAGCUGCCACUCCAGAAACCCAGGGAAAAGACAGGAAUUCUCCUGCAGAAAAUCCUUACCUUUCUAACAUUCUGUGAGUGAUGCCCUGAAGGGGCAGGACAAUACCCUGCCUGCUCCCCAUCCAGCAGUACUGAUUGGCAGCCCCUAGUCCACAUCCAGAACUCUGAGGAGGUGGCUGAGAAACGCAACUGUUAGCUUUCUGACCUCUCCACCCAGAAGGUGGGUGUAUGGCUGUGGAGUGAGAGGCGCUCAGGUUGCCCGUCUUAGCAUCCUUUACAGCACUAAGAUGGAGAGCAGCAGGCUUCAGAAACUUCACCCCUCCAGCGGAACUAUAUGCCACCUAGCAGAGGAUGAUGUCAUCCGUAUCAAGUGAUAGGAC